CCUACGGGAGGCAGCAGUGAGGAAUAUUGGUCAAUGGGCGUAAGCCUGAACCAGCCAAGUCGCGUGCGGGAUGAAGGUUCUAUGGAUCGUAAACCUCUUUUAUAAGGGAAUAAAGUGCGGGACGUGUCCCGUUUUGUAUGUACCUUAUGAAUAAGGAUCGGCUAACUCCGUGCCAGCAGCCGCGGUAAUACGGAGGAUCCGAGCGUUAUCCGGAUUUUUUGGGUUUAAAGGGUGCGUAGGCGGCCUUUUAAGUCAGCGGUGAAAGUCGGUGUCUAAACCAUAGAAUUGCCGUCGAAACUGGGAGGCUUGAGUAUGUUUGAGGCAGGCGGAAUGCGUGGUGUAGCGGUGAAAUGCUUAGAUAUCACGCAGAACCCCGAUUGCGAAGGCAGCUUGCCAGGCCAUGACUGACGCUGAUGCACGAAAGCGUGGGGAUCAAACAGGAUUAGAUACCCUAGUAGUC
rnacentral:rRNA from 1 species